GGACGCCGUCGAGGGAUCGGGACGCCGGCGAGGGAACGGAACGUCAUCGAGGGAACGGAACGUCAUCGAGGGAACGGAACGUCAUCGAGGGAAAGAGACGAGAUCCCGGCAAUGGGACGCCAUAAAGAGAAGAAGAUGCUGUUGAGCGAAUAGGACCCGUCAAGGAAGCACGACGCCAUCAAGAGAAGAGGACGCUAUUAAGAAGAUCUGAUAAAAAUCAAUUUAAAUGCCAUAACGUCGAAAAUUUAUUGUUGACAAGAGAAUUGUUCAAAACAACGAACCACCACAAUUUCUAGAAUUCAUAGCUUGUAGUUUAAACAACCAAUCACCAUCAACUACAUACGGUUCAUUGGCUCUUUACUUCCAAGUUGCUUCACGAAGAGUCUGUGACAACCAGCAGAAAAACGAUAGGCGCGAAAAAUACUUCGAUGCGAUAGAUCCAGAACACGUAUAUCUUUGAAAUUGCGAUUUUUGCUGCAUAAGUUUUUUGAUUCUAUAGAGAAUACUCUCAUAGCCUGGAGUUACCAUCUUCCACUAUUGAAGAUACCUGGAUUCCCCUGCCUAUGACUUUGUGCAGCUAAAGUAAAUACCCGUCGAGUCGAUAUUCAGGAAGGAUUAGUUACCUAAAGCAUCAAAUUUUCGGAGUGGGACGGGCCCUGAUCUUCCUGAGGCAGGAAAGAUGUUCCCCAAAAGUGAGGGGUUGCAGAGUUCCAGCACAAAAGCAUCGUUUUUCAAACAAAACAGUCGUUGGUGAUACUCUUGGCGUCAGCUGAAUCCGAUAUCUAGUUUGGCCAGUAAACUUUUACUGCCGAGCAUCUUAAUCUCAUCUGCAUCUGGAGAUUUUUCAACAUUAUCAGGGAAGAAUUACCAUCACCAUCAAGAAAACAUUUAUGACAUUUUAUAAAUAAGCUGACGGGUUCUACUACGUAGAUGAUACGUUUUUGAAGGUACAUCGCGUGAAGUUGAACAGUCAAUUACUUGACUGCUUAGUAAUGCGAACCGGAUAUUUUGUGAAAGAUCAUAUAUACUUAUGUAACGUAACAAAGUGAAUGCAAAUGUGAAUAAUCUGAUAAAUAUCGAAAAGCAAAUGAUUUAUACUUAAUCAAAUAAAUAAACAAAAUAGAAUA